rnacentral:rRNA from 1 species
AAAGCCUGAUGCAGCAACGCCGCGUGAAGGAUGAAGGCCUUCGGGGGUAAACUUCUGUUCUAAGGGAAGAAACAAAUGACGGUACCUUAGGAGCAAGCCCCGGCUACUACGUGCCAGCAGCCGCGGUAAUACGUAGGGGGCAAGCGUUAUCCGGAAUUAUUGGGCGUAAAGAGUGCGUAGGUGGUUACCUAAGCGCAAGGUUUAAUUUAGAGGCUCAACCUCUACUUGCCUUGCGAACUGGGCUACUUGAGUGCAGGAGGGGAAAGCGGAAUUCCUAGUGUAGCGGUGAAAUGCGUAGAUAUUAGGAGGAACACCAGCGGCGAAGGCGGCUUUCUGGACUGUAACUGACACUGAGGCACGAAAGCGUGGGUAGCAAACAGGAUUAGAUACCCUGGUAGUCCACGCCGUAAACGAUGAGCACUAGGUGUUGGGCCCGUUAGGGCUCAGUGCCGCAGUUAACGCAAUAAGUGCUCCGCCUGGGGAGUACGCUCGCAAGAGUACAACUCAAAGGAAUUGACGGGGACCGCACAAGCAGCGGA